UAUAUAUAUAUUUCUUUUUAAAAAAUCUGCAUCUGGAUCCUACCAAACUUUUAGCCUAAAUGGCCGUUUUAGGGUUUAUCAGAUAAGUUGUCUCUCCCAUCUUCCCACUCGAAUCACUCCGCGCAUUGGAUUGUCACACUCAUACCUACUGCAUCCAUAGCUUACUUGGCCAAAAGACAAAAAAAACCUAUAUCCCUUUUCUUUCCCACCCCAAAACCCAAGAGAUUACAACAAUGGGAUCAAGAGCUCGCACCACAACUUACUCGAAGUUCCUCCCUCAAAUGGCUGUUCAUUCUCUCGGCACCUUCGCUCCUUCCAAUUCCAAGUCAGAUAUUCCAACUAACGGUUUCAAAGAGUUUCCUCAGGCCGAAGGUAAGACCGUAAGAAGGACAGAGAAUUCAAUCGAUUUCUGAAAGAAGGGCCAGCAUUCCCCUGCAAGGUGAUGAACCACGAGAAAUAUACGAGGUUAGACGUGCCGGAUAUCCGGAAGUGAUGGCUGAAGCUGUUGGUUGAAGACAACUCUCUGCACGCCAAGGCAGUGGAAGAGGUGAAUGAUGAUCCUCUGCCCACUGAGGAGUAAUUACUAUGGUGAAAUCGACCUCCCUCAGAGCUGCUACAAGCUCAAUAACUUUGUGUUCAACAUGAAACGGCAAAUGAUGACGAGGAACACUUGUGACAGGCGGUGAUGGUUUACGAGUCGUACUGAUGCAGUUAGUAAUGCAACUGACGUUGAGAGUAAUGCUUUUUCUGCUGAUGCGGCUGGGGAUGCAAUUGACGAUGAGGAUCCAGAAAUUCUUCAUCCUAUGGUGCUUGCCACUUUAAUCAAGGAAAAAGACUUUCCAAGCUUCGAAAGUUUAGUUGCUGUCUGUAGAUACCAAGAGCAUUUUUUUUAAAAGAAGCAUAACAUAAUAUUAUAAUAUUAUGGGUUGUACAAAAUGGAUUACACGGAUUUGCAUGUGGAUGGGGGUUCCAAGUUGAUGAGAUAUAUCUCGGUAGAAGACUUCAUGUGGUUCUUCGACAGGAUUCCUGGAAAGUACAAAAAAAGGAUUUAUAAGUACAUGUUUAAGCAGCAAAUUUAUGUUUUGGAUAGUUUUCCGGGGACUAUCUGCAAUCAUCUGUUUUUGGAAAGCACCACCUAGUGGGUGGUACAAGUUAAGCGUCUCUGGGUUUUUUUAGGAAGAUCUUGGAGGGACCAAAGAAGCUGGUUGUGGAGAAGUAUUGAGAGAUCCUAAGGGUAGGAUUUUGGAAAUUUUCCAUAUGCCAUUUCCUGAUAUGACAUCCAGAGAUGAAGUAUUCUUACUGGAGUCUCUCAUGGUAUAUAUGAAACUCUCCAAAGGAGAUAGAAAGUUAAGAGAAUAAUAUUGGAGAUUGACCAUGAAAAAAAUUUCAAGGUGCUAAGUCGAAAUGUGCAUCUACGAAUGGAAGAUAAGGAACUUAAAGAAUUUUAUCGGAAAGCUUUUAUUAUAAAGUUUGAGUUCAUUCUUUAAAUUUAGAUUCCAGUUUCCUUCCAAUAACAUUGAUAUAAAAUUUAUUGUUAUGCAGUAACAUUUAUUAUAUGUUGUCAUAUUUGACAAAUAUAAAAUAUUGUUUCAAUAUCCUCAAGGAAACAGUCUAGCUAAUAGAGUUGCGUAUAUAGCUUCGAAUCUGACCGUGGGACAGCGUUUUCCCAUAUUCAACAAAUGUUUUGAAACACAAGUUAGGUGUGAAUGUGUGAUCAAUUGGAGAUUCCACGAUAUGAGAUCAUCCUGGAAGAAGAAGAAUCAUCCGAUGAGGAUAUUUGAAGUCAGGUACUUUUACUUCGCUUUCUCCUUUUCUACAUAAAAACAUACCAUACUACAAAGGAAAGAAAUCAUUUUUUUUUUACUGUAUUUUAGUUAAAAAUGUAUAUUAAAUUCCUGGAAGGAGAAAGUAAUUAGCCUGAUCUGCUGUUCACCCAGCAUAAAUAAAUAAAUUAAUUAAUUAAAAUAAUAAAAAAAAUAAAAGGGGGCAGGUGUGGACUGGGUUGUGGAAGGGGGUUCUGUAAUUUUAUUCACCUUUAUUCUAGUAUAUUAUAAAGUACACUAGGAGCUUCAGAAAGAGAAGGAAAAAAAAAAAAAGUUCACUUAGCGGGAAUUGAUCACAAUAACAAUACCCCUGUGCUGAUGGUUCUACUCCAGUGUUCCCAGACUAUAUUUAAUUUUCACAAAUUAGGACAACUUAUUAAAGCAACUGGAUUCUCACAAAUCAGUUUUUGCGGGGGCUGCAUAUAAUCUGUGGUAUUGUACAUGUUGGCUAACCACGUGUGUAACUUUGAAUUACAUCAUUUUUUGUUAUUUAUUUGUCACUAUAUAUACUUUUAAGCAAUUUUUUGUUAUGCCACUUGCUCACAUUUUUGUCACUUUAAUAUUCUUUUUUUCAAUUUUUUUUUUUUUUUUUGUUUUUUAAUGAGAAUUUCAUAAUUGUGGUGCAACCGGGUUAGCAACUUGGCCCUGGUCCCCCAUGAAGCACUAGAUGGGAAAAAAAUCAUAAUUGUGUUACAAAUUUAGGUUUUAGGGGCAGCAUGGUAUUUGCAAUCAGUUGACCAGUUCCGCAAAUCAUAUUGUAAGUAGGAUUCUGGUCCUACAAAAUGCCACCUUAAUUAUUUGGAUUGUGUGACUUGACCAUGAUGAUCGCACUACAAACGUGUUUAAGAGUUGUGAUCCUAACAUGAUGAUGAUCACUUUCUAGUACGGAAUACUAUUUGAAAAAGUAGUGACAAGAAGUGUUGUGUUAAAGUUUGUUAAAAAGGACUUCUUUUUUUAUUGUUUGUGGUGGGGCUUGCCGAACUUAUGUUUUCUCCAUAUUUUCUCAAUGUUUUUUCUUCCCCUUUCAGAAAACUUAAAUGUGGAACGUCCCAAUGUAUUGCAAUUUGCAUAACUAGUGUUGGUAUGCAACAUCUUAUAUGACUUACUAUUAUUAGUAAGAAGAGCAUUUGAGUGAGAUUUAUAUUGAUAUCGAUAGUGAGAGUUGAUAGGAUACGUUACUGGGAGGUUGUCCUAAAUACCAUCUGUAUCUUUUGUCAAGAACGGUAGAAGUAAGGCAAAGUUUAAGAGGAUGAAGAGAAAGGUAAUAAUACAAUGGAGAAAAUGGAGGCUAAAGGGUUAUGGAGAUUUUUCUGCUAAUUAUGACAUGAUUGAAGUCGCAAUGGGAUACUAAUCUAUGUAUAAGAACAACAAAAGCACAACCUUCUUGAUUCAACAAGAUAUUAGGCGUCUUUGUAUGUCUUAAGUUAGUUCCUGUAAAGUAUCAGAGUUUUUUUCAUUUUAUUUUUUGAAGUUAAAGCAAACACUCCCCCAUAAUUCACGUGUCCCUAAUGGGAUUUGAACCCUCAAUCUUUAUAUUUUAAAAGAAGAGAUUAUAUCAUAGAAGCCCUUUGAUAAAAGAUUAAGACUUACACUUGGAUGGAAAUGUUUAUGCUAUUUAUGACACAAAUAGAAAUUAUUUGGAAAAAAAGAAAAUAAUAAUAAUGUAGAACUUGGAAAGGGUUCUUUAAGGUCACUAUGAAUAUAAAAGUUAAAAAGAAAAAGAGGAUGAAUAAGCAAAACCAAUGCACAACCUUCCUUCUAUCAACAAGACAUUAGGAGCGGAUUCGCUGAGUGGCAAACUCUACAUCGGCACCGUCCACCGCCACAACUACCAGACUCCACCGCCUGAUGCAAUGAUCGGCGAUCGUGAUUUUCUUUGAGACAAUACUUAGGUCCUCACCGGUGAAGAUGUAUACCAUCCUGACUACUAAUGUGUACCAAUAACAAAUGAACACAUAUUUUAAUUACCAAACCAGAGAUGGUAGUUAACUCACCAUCUUUAAUUUGGAAAGUGCGUUUAGUCCCCCACCAUCUUUAAUUUGGAAAUUAAGGAGGAUUUGCCCAUAUGUUAUUGGUCCAUAUAAAAAAAAAUGUUGUUUACAUUUCUAGAGAAAUAAAAUAGUUUUGUUACUUAAAAUUUCCAAUCUUUUUAUUUUUUUCUCUUUAACUAUGUUUUUCAAACAAUUUCAUAACCACAAAGGGUUUUAGGAUUUAGCCAAUGUGGUAUCUCAUAAGCUUUUAAAAAAGGAAAGUCCAGGGUCUCGAAUGGAGAAUAAGGAGUUCAUAUGUGAUUUUAUGUACCCAAAAAAAAAAAUUUAAAUAAAAAAAAAAAAUCUUAAAAUUAUCAAAUGAAUUUUCAAACUAAAGUUAUUCUAAAGAAUUGAACAACAAAGAUAGGCUACGAAUCAUCCAAAUCCCAAAUAUAGAAAAAAAGUUAGCUUUCAAAAUGGUUCGGCCCAUCUAGGAGAAGCGUGCCCAAGUCCAUGUGAAUUUCAAAAAUUGUUGCAGUUAACCCACCGAGCCAACAACAGUUAUAGAGAGAGAGAUAGGGAUUUUUAGAGAGAGAAAAUGGAGAAAUCAGCGAUGAAGGCAUUUGAGAAGCUGGAGAAGGUCGAAGAGGGAACAAGGUGGUAUACAGAGCCAGGGAGAAGGUUACGGUGGCCUUGGAGAAGACAAGACUCCACGAGGAUGAUGAAGGAGUCCCUCCCACCACUCUCCGUGAGGUCUCUUUGUUGCGUAUGCUCUCUAGGGAUCCCGAUGUCGUUUGGUACCAUCAUUCAAAUCUCUCGUUUUCUUUACAGUUUGGCGAGUUUUUUUUUUUUUUU